rnacentral:rRNA from 1 species
UACGAGUGCCCCAAGCGUUAUCCGGAAUCCUUGGGCGUAAAGGGUGUGUAGGUGGUUAUAUUAGUCUUUUGUAAAAUCUCCAGGCUUUACCUGGAAACCGCGAAAGAAACGGUAUGACUAGAGGGUGCGAGGGGUCUGUGGAACGCAUGGAGUAGGGGUGAAAUCCGUUGAUAUCAUGGGGAACACCAAAAGCGAAGGCAACAGACGGGCGCAUUCCUGACACUGAAACACGAAAGCGUGGGUAGCGAAUGGG